rnacentral:lncRNA from 1 species
GUGCGUGUGUACACACACUGUAUACACCCACAGACACGUGCACAAACUGCACCACCUGUUUCUCCCCCUCCCUCACACACUGCCCCUCCCACCGCAUUCCCUCUCUCCCCUGUGUUUAAAAACCUAGAACGUCCGACUAACAGCCCUUCGUAAGCACUUAAGCCAGUGCUUAGCAGCAUAGAGGAAGAGUGGAGCUCAGUGAAACAGUGGAGAAGUCUAGCCGCUACCUCUCAGUGAGAGAGAGAGAGAGAAGAGGUAAGAGACAUCAUUUUAUGCGCAACAGAACAUGUACAGAUUUUUUUUUUACCACGAUGCUGGACCUGGACCUGGACCUUCCUCCACAUCCUCAACAAAAUAAAAGCAAUACCAAAAGGCGCUGGGGCAAACAGUGGCACUGUUUCACCUUAUGCAGAUUCCAGAAUUAAAAGGGACUCUAUGGUUCCACCGGCUUCCUUUUGGCCUGAGACACACGUCGGCCAUGGUAAGGACGGAUGCCCACCGGGCACUCAUUAAACGAAAAAGCCAAAUCAUUAUGGAUCACUUGUUCCCCAUCCACCAGUGGAGGCUGAGGCUUCAUCCCAUAUGGCAUUCUAUUCCCUACAUUGUGCAUUACUUUUGACCAGUGCCCUAAGUCAUUGGUCAAAAGCAGUGCACGAAUAGACUAAAUAGGGUAUGAUUUCGAACGCAGCCUGGGUGAUGUGUCAAAGGGAGACCCCCACCCUUCCCGAUCCUACCGAGCCAGUGUGCAGCAGCUGUGGGCUAUCAUUAGCAGAUGACAAAGGCCAUUAGGAGUCUUACUCUACAGGCCCGGAGUGGAUCUGACAAGCUCACUUUAGCCUUGGCCCACAUCGCCAGCACACCACUCAUAUAAGCACAUAUAGCCACAAACAGACUAAACCAGUCAGUACUAGACCAGUCUGGUAGUAGCCUAGCUUAACAUCUGAAAACACACUGUCCAAUAUACACACACGGCCACACAGACUACACCAGCCAUUAAGUAUAGUUGCCGUAUUGCCUUGAUAUCUUAGUAUUUUCUUAUGCUAAUUUCAACAUGUUUUAAGUCCUAUGGAGAACCACUAAAAUGCAUGAGAAACAAGAGCUUCAAACAAUCAGAUGACAACCAAUUUACAACUCAACCCACACACGUCUGCAGUCAACCAUGAGCCAACCAUAUAGCUGUUUUUAAUAUUGAAUAAAUCAGUACUAUUUUAGUCCCCUACGAUGAAAUAGUAAUCAACUGAAAUUCCAAACGUUAAACAAGCAUAUCUCCUGUCCCGUUUGAGCUUAAAUUGUUGUCACCAAUUGGCCCAAAUGGGGGCGCUGCAUCAUUCCUGGGGGACAGAGUAUGUGAGCGAAGCAGAGCUGUAGUGGAGCAAGAUUCCCCAAAGGCUGGAGCUUCGGCCUUCUCGCCCACUCCAAUUUUACUCCAGUAGCACUCACUUUAGGAGCUUAGGGCCUGCCUGCCCCAGUCUGCAUUUGAAGUCUACUUGUGUGCUGCUAAUAGUCCCUUGCUUUAGCUACUGUCAGAGUUCACUAAAUAGUUUCAUAAAAAACUGAAAACACAGGGGCUAAGUCAAGGUGACUAACAAAAAUGCAGACCAAGAGCAAGAGAGGGAGUGCAGUAAGGUAGUGUCCACUGUUGUGUAAGGCUUGAAUGCCACCUGCUGGUAUGGUGCUAAACUGUUAGGUUAUAGACCGGAUGCCAUUGUUCUAUGCGUGGGAUAUAGCAGUUGUUACAUGCUAGCUAUAUGAAACAUCCACAACUAAAGAAUUUUGUGGAAUCUGAAAAGACACUUAU